UGCACUCACUACUGUAAGUCGCUUUGGAUAAGAGCGUCUGCUAAAAUGACUAAAA
rfam:Salmo salar isolate Sally breed double haploid chromosome ssa13, whole genome shotgun sequence.